UCAAUGAAAUUUCAAUAGCCGCAAUACAAUUGUGCUAAGGUAGCAUAAUCAUUUGUCUUUUAAUUAAAGACUAGAACAAAAGAUUCAAUAUUUUAAUUACUUUCUCAUUAAUAUAUAUUUAAUUUAUCCUAAAUAUAAAAAGAUAUUUAUAAAACAAAAAGACGACAAGACCCUAUUGAACUUCACUAAAGUUUAACUGGGGCAGUUAAUUAAAUAAAAUUUUAAUUUAUAUUUCAACAAAUCACCUAAUACUAUUAAUCUCCAUCAAGUUACCAUAGGGAUAACAGCGUAAUAAUUUUCUAUAGAUCUUAUUCAAAAAAUAAUUUACGACCUCGAUGUUGAAUUAAUAUUCUAUUAAAUGCAAUAAUUAAUAAGAAAGU
rnacentral:rRNA from 1 species